UACAGAGGUCUCAAGCGUUGUUCGGAUUCAUUGGGCGUAAAGGGCUCGUAGGCGGCCAACUAAGUCAGACGUGAAAUCCCUCGGCUUAACCGGGGAACUGCGUCUGAUACUGGAUGGCUUGAGUUUGGGAGAGGGAUGCGGAAUUCCAGGUGUAGCGGUGAAAUGCGUAGAUAUCUGGAGGAACACCGGUGGCGAAGGCGGCAUCCUGGACCAACACUGACGCUGAGUGAGCGAAAGCCAGGGGAGCAAAGCG
rnacentral:rRNA from 1 species